CAUGGAUUUCUGACCUCACUGCAGACUCCGAUAUCCAUGCUUCCUCUCUGGGUUCCUUUUUGCCUUUGCUAAAGCAGGUUGUUUCUCGCUCUCUCAGCCAGGGGCUGUGGGUGGUGAAUCCCUCAUGCUCUGUGGGUAUGUGCCAUCUUUACUUGGCCUCUUUCAGAGGAUUCCUUAUUUCCCCACCAGGGGCUGCAGGUGCCCAGCGCCAGGUCCUUGGGCACAAAGGUCCACCCACCACCAGACCCGCUCCCCUCCGGAGGCGGCCAAUGUUAUCGUUCUACUGUACAAACAGACACACACAUUAUUCCUUUGUCUCCUUUUUUCUUUUUUUAAUGAAUCCAGUAGCAAACUCUCCACAUGGCCUCUUGCUUUUUCACUUAAUGAGAAUCUGGGUGCUCACUCCCAGGAGACACAGAGUGCCCCUCAGGCCUUUUGAGGAGUGCAUACAAUGCCACCAACCUCAUUGAUUAAACAUCUACUUAUCUAUCUGACUGAUGAAAAGCUAGACUUCUCCCAACCCCUCGCUAUUCUGAACGACGCACUUCUGAACACCCUUGUUUAUGCUGAUCCCUGCACACGUAACCUUAUCUAUAGGUUUGGGUCGGGGGUGUGCACCUGUACUCUGGAAGGACAGCGUCAAGCUGCCUUUCACAAGACUGUGCGAGCUGUACUUCAAACAGCCAUGUCUGAGCCUAUGCCUGCCAUUCCCAAUAGUGCAUUAACAAGUUUUAGAUCUGUGAAAAUCGGACAUGUGAGAAACGAGAUCCCUAUAGGCUCUUCACUCGUACUUCUCUUGUUAUCAACAGAUCGAACAUCCUCUUUUUUUUAAUGCUGAAAGAGCCACACAUGUAUCUUGCUGUGAAAUGCCUAUUACUACCCUUUUUGUGCGUUUCUCUUUUCAGCAAUUAGUCAUUUUCUUCUUGGCCUAUGAGCUCUUUAUAUAUGAAGGAAAUGGGCCCUCUGUCAGUACUAAGAGCUGCAAUAGCCUUUCCAGUUUAUUAUUUAUCUUCUGAUUUUGCUCGUGGCACUUGUCUUUUGCCAUGCAGAAUUGCAGAUUCUAUAAGGGGAAAUCAUCACUCUUUCCUUUUGUGCCUCUGGUUGUGUAUGAACCUCUGUGGGGAAAUGUUCUCCCACGAUUCUUCUCAUAACACGAUGGUUUCAAUGGUUUAGAUUUAAAUUCCUGCUCCUCUGUGUAACCCACACCCGCUCGUUUACCCCAUUCACUCCUGAACGUCAGCUUGACUGUGUCUUCAAACCCAGACAGGUGGCGUCCAACAGAACUUGCGGGUGCAAUGGAAACGGUCCCCAUCUGUGCAUCUAACACACUGGCCACUGGCCUCAAGACCCCCAGGUGCUUAACGUAGGGUGAGCUGACUAGAGAACUGAGUUUUUACUUUUAAUUAAUUACUCUUUGAAUUUAAAUAGCUGUGAAUGGAUGGCUGCCUGGAAGAGGCCACCACCUUCACCUGCCCUCAAGCCGAGCUUGUCCUCUCUGCGACUUCUCAUCCCUGUGUUAAGUGGGUUUGCCUUCCUGAUCCUGCCGACCACUCAGGCCACACCAUCAGCUAAGAACUCUUUCCUCUGGAGCACUCUCAACACCUUCUUAAAUGGUCUCAAAUCUCAAGAGGAGAGAUCUUAAAGUAAAUCUCCUCAACACGCAUGCGUGCGUGCAUGACGGCAGCCAUCCCUGCGAAGUGAUGUAUGCUUUUCAGCUCCAAACUCCGCCUGGGCGCAGUGCGACGGCUCACUCAGGCUGUCACCCACUCCCUGUCCACCAGACAUGCCCACUCCCUGGACUGUAAGAUGUCGUGAGGCUGCUGCCUGUGUCUACCAGGCUAUUCUCUGGGACCUGCUUGUCCUUUGGGUUCCAGCUUCUUUCCACGAACUUCUCCUCAGUGACGACUCAAUCUGAGUAAGGUCUCUGUGACCCCCUUAUUCUAACUCAUCCUGUUUCCUUCUCAGCAGGUGCCAUGGGCCAGACUGUGCCCCCGGACCUACAGGCUGAGGCCUAAGCCCAGGUGGCUGUAUCUGGAGAUGGGCCUGGGAGGUGGCGAUGAAGGUUCCAUGAGGUCACAGGGUGGCCAUGACCUCACAGGGCUGGUGUCCCACAGGGAGAGGAGGAGACCAGAGCUCUCUGCAGGUGCACAUGAGGACGCAGGGAGAGGCAGUGCCCGUAAGCCAGAGAGAGUGGCCCCACCAGGAACCGAAUCCUCAGCGCCUGGAUCUCGGGCCUCCAGCCUCCAGAGAUGCAUGUCUGUUGUCGAAGCCGCCCAGUCCAUGCAGUUCCGUUCUGGCAGCCCGAGGUGACCAAGACAUUUGCCCUCCCACCAUAUGCUGGGCGCUGUGUGACUUUAUUCUUCCGUAUCCUGCAGUCACUACUCACGUUUCAUCGCGUCCCGAAGGAGACUGAGCUAAUGGUGGCAAGGAAGUUCCAUCCUCAGCCGCAGCCGUCACCCAGCAGCUUUCUGAAUGACCAGUGACUGGCUGGUGCUCCCAGCGCAGCUUCUGCUGCACGCAGUGAAUCAGACACCCACAGACCCGGUGACUCCACAACUCUGGUGCAACUGCUCAAAACCUGUCAGGACCUGAGUACCGCGGGAAGACAAGACAGCAUGGGGGACGAGACCGCAGGAAGCUCUAGAACCCCGUCUGGGCUCUGAUCUCAGCUCGUCCCGCUACACAGCCCUGCGAUCCGAGCCUCAGGCUCCUCCUGUGAUGUCAGAGCCCCGCCUUAGAGGGCUGUUUGGAGACUGGAGAUCACAUCCUGCUCUCAGCAGCCCUGCCCACGGCAACCACUCAGCGGGUCUUGGUAACGAUGGGGGCUGCAUCCAAGUGGAAGAGAAUUCUGGGAGAUUCUCAUGGCUACACUGCUGGAAGUGGGUUUAGACGGUCAUCCCCAACAUGUGCCUCACUGUCUACUUGGUUCAGCCCCUUCCUCAGACCCAGGGGGGACUCAGGUGCAGGUGCCUGAACUCACUUGCUGCCUCCUCUGUGCCAGCCACUGUGCCAGCACUGGGACAGUGUGAUGGUCAUGACGACACAGCCCUGUCUUCUAAAAGGAGAGAGCACGAGCACACAGGCGUUUCGCCUACGGCACAUGCAGGGCCACGAGGAAACAAUGGAGGCGACGUGACAGAAGCUGACAGGAGGGGAGCCCGCGCACACAGGGAAACUCACUCUCCUAAAGGUGUGGGAGCGUCACAGACCCUCAGAGAGUAAGCGCGAUUCUGACUGAAGCACUGGUGUGAGCUGCGCGCUCGCAGGCGGACACGAGUGGAGGAAAAGGGUGAAAGUACGGGUGGGGACACAAGCUCUCGCCUUCCAGGUGCCCUUCCACCCCAUCUGUAUCCACACUGCCCGUCGUUGACAGAGACGCACUGAUCUGCCUCACUUAAGGAGCUCAGUGUGCUCUGACGUGGACGCCCCACGCUUUAUCACUCUACGUCCAAUGACGGUCACAGCAGCUUCCAAGCCAACCUUGACAAAGCCAAUUCCGGGUCUCCAGCCCGGCGUCUCAAAAAGAACAAUAACCACAACCAGCCUCCAGAAGCCUCAGGUACAGUGGCCACCAACUGAGGAAGCGCGUGAAGCUCCCCACAGCUCCAUCACUAAGACAACCACCACCAAACAGUGGUUUAACUGGCUUUUUCCAUUAGGAAUGCAGCACUGUUCACUCAACCAACUCCAGCUGUCAGGCAGUCAGAUUCCUAACUGUUAGCGCCUCCAGAAGGAAGCAGGCGUCAGCUACGUCCUCUGCCUCCUGGACAGCAAAAGAAACGUGGCUCAUGCUCCCAACCACACGGCCUGCAGCGGUCCAGAGACGGCCUGCAACCCUGUGAGUCCUGAGGCAGCACCCACUCACCAUCUGCUCUGCCCCAGGCCCGCGUCUGUGCACCAGCUUCUCCUCUGUCCCUUGUCGAUCCAGAUGCACAGCUCAGCCCCUCCUUCUUCUACAAAUCGUCCACUCACCCCAAGCACCUCAAGACUCAUUUCUUUUUUGUGCUGAAUACUGUUCCACUGUCUGGAUGGACCACAGUUUGUUCAUCCACCCACUGAAGGACGCCUUGGUGCUUCCAAGCUUUGGCGAUUUUGAAUAAAGCUGCUGAAACACCCGUGUGCAGGUUUUGUGUGGACGAGAGCAGGGUCACUUUGCGGGAGAUCUGAGGGAGGGGUCAGAUCAUUUUCUGCUCAAUGUCCGCAGCCUGGGCUUCCCCGGCCCCUCCUUCUCUACCUCAGGCAGAUGUCCUAUCCCUGUGGAGAAGUCCUGGGCUGCCAACACGCACGCCCUCAGCAACUCAGAGAGACUCUCCUCUUAGGAGGUAAGGAAAACACACUGGUCAAGAAAAUGGACUUUUCUUUGAGAAGGGUCAGAGUGUGGCCGUGCUGGCGGGUAGUGCUCAGGGUCUGACAGGAAGAGGGUGACCAGGGUGACAAUGCUGUGCACUUUCCAUUUCCUGAGAUGGGGGAUGGAGGAAGGCACUUGCUGUGGAGCUUUGAGGGGGUGAGACGCCCAACAGACAUCAAGCAGAGGUGAUGAUACUUCAUGAGCCAUCCCACAUAAAACCCUGAGCCUGCAGAUGGGCACAGUUGGAGAACUCAGUUUGGGAGCCACAACUAUCCAUAUAUGGACACAGAAGCCAUGGGACCAGGUUAAGUUACUUGGUACGUGGGUGUGGAUAAGAUAGUCUGGGGCACCCCAACAUUCGGGGAGUGUGGAUAUGAGUCAAUUUAAUGUGCGGAGAGGACUGUUACAUCAAAGGAUAGAUAAGUUGGAUAUUUUAAGACAUGCUAUAAAACCACCUCUACAGGGCUGUACUGAGUGACAUUUCUACCAGCAAUUUCUGAGGACUCCCUUCCUCCAUUCCCGAUGACAAGGGAGCAGGCGUACUUUCAACAUGUCCUUUGUCGCCUUGGUAGACAGAGCAGCAUUACGGCCGCUUCACCUGCGUGUUUAUCCCAGGGAGGGUCUCAGUGGUCCUCUGCAGGGGGAGCAGCGGGCUCAAGCACAGCUGCUCCACACAGUCCUGGAGUUCAGCUCAGAACCCCGGCACGGUCGAGCCCAAUCACACCACAGCUACAACUAACUGAACAGGAAAUAUUUCAGGUUAAUUAUUCUCAGGAAAAAAACAGAAAAUACUUCCUUCCUGCCUGGAGUAAUGUUGAAAUGGCACCAGAGGUCACGUGGGACUGAAGAGUGGAGACUACGCACCAGACUCCCUGUCUGGGCAACACUUCUUGGUGCUGCGACCUUUCAAGAAAC
ensembl:lncRNA